rnacentral:lncRNA from 1 species
AACAGUUACUUGUUCAUCGUUAUCAGUGGACAGAGAAAAACCAGUGAAUGCCAUAGUGACUCCUUACAUUCCAGAUAUGCUCCUUUCUGACUUGUUUCAUCAAUUGUAACUCCUCCUGAUAAUCAAGAUCAAUCAUCCCACCAAUAUCAUCCAUGUUUUCUUUGCCUAUUGGUACUCUGGCAUGAAGUUUCCAAAAAGAACAGGUUGUAACUGUAGCUUUAAGUUUAAAAUUGUAGCUUUAAAGUGGAACUAGUAUGUCCCCUGGUGGAACAUCAUCCCCACCCCAGGAACCAAGAUCUCUAAUGUGGUACAACCUUAAGCUGUUGGGACAGGAGAUGUAAAUUCCACAAGUGAGUUCUCACCACAAUGAUGGUGAGAGAGCUCAUCCUACUUCCAUCUUUUGGUUCAGAGACUCACAUGUUGCAUCUACAGGGGGAAUAUAUUAGUUGCCUAGGGAUGGCGUAACAAAACUGGGUGACUCAAGUCCCAGACAAAUAGCCCUUUCUAUUUCUCUAACUUUGUGUUGUACCACUCUCCCAUUUGUUCACUGGACUCCUGACACACUGGCCUUUUGCAGUUCUUAGAAGAUGGCAGGCUUUCUCC